rnacentral:RNase_P_RNA from 1 species
GAGAGUAGGCGUAGGUGGUUGCAGAUCAGUUAACCCUGGUUUGAGGAAAGUCCGGACUCCCGAAAGACCAGACUUGCUGGAUAACGUCCAGUGCGAGCGAUCGUGAGGAUAGUGCCACAGAAAGAUACCGCCAAAAUCAGUCCUGAGCAAUGAGUGCUGAGUGCUGAGUUUUUUUCUCAGCACUCCGUACUCAGCACUCAAAACUGUCUUGGUAAGGGUGCAAAGGUGCGGUAAGAGCGCACCAGCAACGUCGAGAGGCGUUGGCUCGGUAAACCCCGGUUGGGAGCAAGGCCGUAGGGACUAUGGUUGGUCUUUUACCAGUUCCGCCUGAAAAGAGCCGCUAGAGGCGUUUGGUAACAAACGUCCCAGAUAGAUAACCGCCAUCAUGUAGAGUAAUCUACAUAGAGAACAGAACCCGGCUUACUACCAACUCUCUCCU